UGGAUUUCUUGGGAUAAGAUGUGCUCUUCGAAGAGAGAGGGAGGUAGGGACCCGGAGGCUUUCAACCAAGCGUUGCUUGCUAAGCAAGCUUGGAGGAUUUUGCAAAACCCUGAAUCCCUUUGCGCUAGAGUGCUUAAGGCACGGUACUUCAAGGAGGGAUCAAUUAUGACGGCUACGUGCCCAAGUGGAGCCUCGUUCACUUUCCGGAGCAUUUUGCAUGGAAGAGACCUGUUACAAGAAGGUUUAGUGUGGAGGAUUGGUGAUGGCACCUCUGUCAAUGUGCAUCAUGAUAAUUGGAUUCCAAGACAGGGGAGUCUCAAGCCGCUGGGUCAGUUGUAUAUGCAUGGUGUUACCAAGGUGGCCGACCUGCUCAACGUACAGGGAGAUACAUGGGAUGAUGCAAAAAUUGAUGAAAUGUUCUCACCUGAUGAUGCACAGGAUAUUAAACAGAUUGUGGUUGGUGGACCGGGUGUAAUUGCAUGGAAUUUUACA
rnacentral:rRNA from 1 species